rnacentral:misc_RNA from 1 species
AACAACCAAGAAUGCCCAGGCAGCAAAUGGUAACAAGCACAAUCCAAAUUAAACAAAUUUCAAUCCCACAACAAUCAAUUUGCAAGUUUACAAAUUCAAAAAAUCAAAACCCAUAAACUGAUUAACAAAAUUUCAACAAAGUCAAACAAAAAAACUAAGAGAGAAGAAGACAUGCAUCGAUAUAAUAUGCUGUGAACAACCGAUUAGAAGAAGAAAUUAUAAUAUCAGCACCGACGAGGCAAACCCAUGAAGCUUAGUCCCAAACGACAUUGUCCAGUGGAAGAAGACAAUUGUAGAAGCUUCAAUCGACCAUCAUAAAAGACUAGAAGAA